rnacentral:rRNA from 1 species
AUUGAACGCUGGCGGCAGGCCUAACACAUGCAAGUCGAACGGAGUGGCGGACGGGUGAGUAAUGUCUGGGAAACUGCCCGAUGGAGGGGGAUAACUACUGGAAACGGUAGCUAAUACCGCAUACUAUCAGAUGAGCCUCGGUAGGUUGAGAUAGUUGGGGGGGUAAAGGCCUACCAAGGCGACGCUCCGUAACUGGUCUGGGAGGAUGAUCAGUCACACUGGAACUGAUAAACGGUCCAGACUCCUACGGGAGGCAGCAGUGGGGAAUAUUGGACAAUGGGCGAAAGCCUGAUCCAGCCAUGCCGCGUGUGUGAAGAAGGUCUUCGGAUUGUAAAGCACUUUAAGUUGGGAGGCGUUACCAACAGAAUAAGCACCGGCUAACUUCGUGCCAGCAGCCGCGGUAAUAC